CAAGCCUGUUAGUUUCACCUCAGUUGUAUGCAAGGUCUUAGAACAAAUGUUGGAAGAGAAAGUAGUUAAUGACAUAGAGGUAAAUGGUAAUUGGGAUAAAAUAUAACAUGGUUUUAUAAAAGAUAUAUUGAUCUCCUUCUUUGAUAAGAUACCUGCCUUUUUAGACAAAGGAAAUGCAGUAGAUCUAGUCUACCUGGAUUUCCAUCAGGCAUCUGAUACAAUUAAAUUGGAGAAGGUGGGAAUUAAUAUAAGGGUUGAAAGGUGGAUAAGGAAUUGGUUAAAGGGGAGACAGGUCAUACUGAAAGGCUGCCAGGCUGGAAGGAGGUAACUAGUGCAGUUCCUCAGGAAUUGGUCUUGGGACCAAUUUUAUUUAACAGUUUCAUUAAUGACCUUGGCACAAAAAAUGGGAGUGUACUAAUAAAAUUUGCAGAUGACACAAAGUUGGGAGGCAUUGCCAAUACGGAGGAGGAUUGGAAUAUCAUAUGAGAAGUUCUGGAGGACCUUGAAAACUGGAGUAACAGAAAUGAGAUGAAAUUUAGUAGUGCAAAGGGACUAUCAACAAGACGUUUUGCUAUAAGCUGGGGACUUACCAGUUGGAAGCAACAGAGGAGGAGAAAGACCUGGGUAUAUUGGUUGGUCACAGGAUUACUAUGAGCUGCUAAUGUGAUGUGGCUGUGAAAAAGACUAAUACAGUCCUAGAAUGCAUCAGGCAAGGUAUUUCCAAUAGAGACAGGGAAGUGUUAGUACCAUUAUACAAGGCACUGGUGAGACCUCAUCUGGAAUAGUGUGUGUAGUUCUGGGCUCCCAUGUUUAACAAAAAUGAAUUUAAACUGGAACAGUUGCAGAGAAGGAUUACUAGGAUGAUCAAAGGAAUGGAAAACCUACUUUAUGAGAGGGGAAUCAAAGAGUUUGGCUUAUUUAGCUUAACCAAAAGAAGGCUGAGAGGGAGAUAUGAUUGCUCUCCAUAAAUACAUCAGAGGGAUAAAUACCAGGGAGGUAGAGGAGUUAUUUAAGUUAAGCACCAACGUGGACACAAGAACAAAUGGAUAUAAACUGGUCAUCAACAAAUUUAAGCUUGAAAUUAGACAAAGGUUUCUAACCAUUAGGGGAGUGGAGUUGCGGAACGGCCUUCCAAGGGGAGCAGUGGGGACAAAAAAUCCUAACUGGCUUCAAGACUAGGCUUGAUAAGUUUGUGGAGGGACAUUAUGAUGAGACUGCAUACAAUGGUAUAUAGCUGAUGUGCGACUGGUAGCAGCAAAUAUCUUCAAUGGCCAGUGAUGGGACACAAGAAGGGGAGGGUUCUGAGUUACUACAGAGAAUUCUUUCCCAGGUGUCUGGCUGGUAGGACUUGCCCACAUGCUUAGAGUCUAACUGAUUUUCUCCUGGGUCAGAUUGGCAGAGAACAGUGUUCCCUCUAAGCUGCAUGCCUGCGUGGCUGCACAAAAGUAAAUUGAGUGCCAUGCAUUUGAUUGGUAUAGCUGCGCACAUCCGGCAACUUGUGUCUGCUGCAGUCCGAACGAGCCUUCAGACUGGAUUACCAAAAGGAUGCAAUUAAUUCCUGGACUGCUCGUCCCCAGAGAUUCAUGAUUCAUAAAGUG